rnacentral:rRNA from 1 species
GGGGAAUAUUGCACAAUGGGGGAAACCCUGAUGCAGCAACGCCGCGUGAAGGAUGAAGGUUUUCGGAUUGUAAACUUCUUUGAUGAGGGACGAAUAAUGACGGUACCUCAAAAACAAGCCACGGCUAACUACGUGCCAGCAGCCGCGGUAAUACGUAGGUGGCGAGCGUUGUCCGGAAUUACUGGGUGUAAAGGGCGUGUAGGCGGGAAAGUAAGUCAGAUGUGAAAUUCCAUGGCUCAACUGUGGCGCUGCAUCUGAAACUAUUUUUCUUGAGUGCUGGAGAGGAAAGCGGAAUUCCUAGUGUAGCGGUGAAAUGCGUAGAUAUUAGGAGGAACACCAGUGGCGAAGGCGGCUUUCUGGACAGUAACUGACGCUGAGGCGCGAAAGCGUGGGGAGCAAAC